rnacentral:rRNA from 1 species
CCUACGGGUGGCAGCAGUGAGGAAUAUUGGUCAAUGGCCGGAAGGCUGAACCAGCCAUGCCGCGUGAAGGUCAGUGCCCUAUGGGCGUUAAACUUCUUUUGUGCGGGAGCAAUAAUGGUCACGUGUGGCCAGACGAGAGUACCGUACGAAUAAGCAUCGGCUAACUCCGUGCCAGCAGCCGCGGUAAUACGGGGGAUGCAAGCGUUAUCCGGAUUUAUUGGGUUUGAAGGGUGCGUAGGCGGUGAGGUAAGUCAGCGGUGAAAUGCCCCCGCUCAACGGGGUGAAGUGCCAUUGAUACUGCCUGGCUGGAAUGCGGAUGCCGUGGGAGGAAUGUGUGGUGUAGCGGUGAAAUGCAUAGAUAUCACACAGAACACCGAUUGCGAAGGCAUCUCCCGAAUCCGCGAUUGACGCUGAUGUACGAAAGCGUGGGUAUCAAACAGGAUUAGAUACCCUGGUAGUC